AGCUCCAAUAGCAUAUAUUAAAGUUGUUGCAGUUAAAAAGCUCGUAGUUGGAUUCCUGGCUGGGCAUGUGGAUCCUCUCUUACGAGUGUGCACCAUACAUGUCUGGCCAUCCUUUGGGAGAGCCAUAGUGGUAUUAAGUUGUUGGUGUGGAAAUCCCAAUCCUUUACUGUGAAGAAAUUAGAGUGUUCAAAGCAGGCUUACGCCGUUGAAUAUAUUAGCAUGGAAUAAUAACAUAGGACUAUUGUACUAUUUUGUUGGUUUGCGCACAAUAGUAAUAAUUAACAGGGACAGUUGGGGGUAUUUGUAUUCCAUUGUCAGAGGUGAAAUUCUUGGAUUUUUGGAAGACAAACUACUGCGAAAGCAUUUACCAAAGAUGUUUUCA
rnacentral:rRNA from 1 species